GCAAUCUCUCCCUCAUUUCCCUCCUUUCCCUAAUCCCUCUCUUUGUCGCAGCGCCAGCUUCUCACCCUUGCCCAUCGCCGUUCGCUCCUCCUACUGCUGCCGCUGCCAUUGUCGUAAAGCUCCUCCCAGCCAAUGUUGAGCAGGGCAGAGCAAAGAAGAGGAAGUUGCUUGAUUGCUAAAACAGAGGUUUUGCGUGAUGGACGAUAGAAUCAUAGCAAGGAGUUACAUCUAGUACUCUCCUUCCGGAGUCCAUGACUUUCCUCACAGGUCUUCUUCUCUCCCUACAGAUCGAGAGAGGGGCCCCUGAUAGGAGAGCGGGUAAAGUUCCGCUGAUUUAGUACUGUUGAUCUGCCCUCUCUAAAGGGAGCCUGUGAUAGGAGAGCGGGUAAAGCUCCGCUGAUUUAGUACUGUUGAUCUGCCCUCUUUGAAGGGUAAGUUUUGGUAGGGACGGUUGAAUUUUGUGGAAAAUGUCCCUAGGUCUUGCUUUUGGGAUGUAUAUACUUAAAUACCGUAGAUAUAGUAACUCUGGUAUUGUGAAGGAUGAUUUUGUAUUUAUGAUAUUAUGAUUGUAUGUUUCUUGCUGCUUAGGCUUCCGUU